AUGUAUCUUUUCAUGUCCCUGCAAAAGAGCUUAUCACUAUGUGUGUUCUGGUUAUAUAUCACCAAGAAUGGCAGAGGAAUCGAUGGCAAAAAUAAGGAACAAUAUUCUUCUUAUUUCCAAGAAAGGCAUUUAGUUGAUUCAUGUCAGUUCUUGGAACUAAAGCAUCAUACAAUGAUAGAUAGGCUCCUCAUUUCAAAAGGAUUAAAUGAGUCUAUAUGGUCAUGGCUUGUCGUCCGUCUUGAAGCGGAUUCAGAGCCCGGUAGGAUCGCACACCGUAUGGCUUGGACAUCGGAAGAAGAUACAAGAUCGACAAGCGUUCGGUCGAAAAACUCAAAUUAUUCCAUCGAUAGAAUAACAUGA
rnacentral:rRNA from 1 species